ensembl:lncRNA
AUAUGCAUGGCAAUAUAAAGCAAUGCAGUUCAUGAGUGUUGUAUAUCUUUCAUUUACAUCUGUAUCCUGUUGGAAUAAACAUUAAAAAGCUUUUUAUUUUUUUCUUAUGUAUAUCUUUGUGUGUUUGUGUGUUUGUUGCACAACCAACUGACUCUUUGAAUUAUAAAGUGCACUCCAUGUAAAGGUAAUGAUCAUGGAAGUUUGUUUCCCAUUUCCGCUCAGCAUUUCUAUAACUUCUUCUAUGAUUAUAUUGGAAUCACAAAUAUAAGUUGAAGAAUUUGCAGAUGGGACUAGUCUAGGGUCAAACCCUAGACCAGUUCUUUUUUAUUUUAUUUAUAUUUUACAUUUGAGCCACCUCCUUAAACUUUUUAUUAGUAUGCUUCACCUAACAAACUAAAAAAGGUAUCUUACCUCAGUGAAUGUUUAAUUAUCAUCAAAGAUUGGAUGUUUAACUUCAUUAAACUUUGAAUGUGGCAAAAAUGUCAAUAGGCUAAGGAAGCCAGUCCCUUCAAUUGCAAAAAAAACAUAUAGUUAAGCUUUUCCCAGCUUCCCUUCAGCUGGUCCAAAAUAGAUUAAUCUGGCUGCUAAAAAAAAAAAAAAAGAAAGCCUGGUUGUUGCAUUUCGGUCCAUUAACUUUCAAAUCAGGACCAGGAGUUUAACCCCUAUUCCUAUUUCCUUUUAAUGACUAAAUGACUGACAAUUAACAAAAAUUUUUUUUACCUCUAAUUCAGGUCAAGAAGUCUUCAUUAAAGGGUUUCCAACAGCUUCCAACAAGUGUGCAAUCAGUUUAGCAGAAAAAAAAAAUGUCAGUUUCAAAUGUUGAAAAACAUAAUUUGCUCAUUUGUUAUGUAGAUCAACUACUCAGCACAGCUAAGAGGGGAAAAAUGGAUGUACAAACUUCACAAAAAUCUUGCUGUGUUCUUUUUAUGUGUGAUUGUGAGUAUGUUGGGGUUGCUGUGGCUCAGGAUGUAGAGCAGAUCACCUACUAGUUGGAAAGAUGGUGGUUUGACCCCUGUCUGCUCCAGUCUGCAUGCCAAACAUCC